CACACUGAAAACACUGGUUCUCAUUCAAUCAUUGAAGUUAAGCAGUGUCACACCUGGUCAGUUCUGAGAUGGGAGACCGCUUGGGAACACUGAGUAAUGUA